CGAAGUAGAGACAAAUUCAACAAAAUAUCUGACCAGUGCUCAUCAAAACAUCAAGGUCAUGAGAAGCAAAGACUAAAGAACUGUCACGAUUGGAAGAGACUAAGGAGACAGGACAAUUCAAGCUCCACAGGGAUUCACUCAGUGAUGAGUCAGAUGUGGGCAUCAUCGUCCUUGGGGCUCACUUCUCACCCCCGGUGCACGUUGCAGUCACUGAGGUGCUUGGGGAAUCCUCAUGAUCAGGCCACCCCAUCUGCAGAUUCUACUGCAAGUACUUUUGAAAGCCUCCAAAUGAUCCCAGAAUGUAGCACAUCUCAAGCUGUGCCUCAGGACCACAGCUGAUGACUCCCAGAAUGUCCUGACUGCAAGGAACAUGUACUAUGGACCCAUCAGAAGUGAGCUCAUUUUCUAAACAUCUGUGUUGCCAACAGGCACACACCUAAAGUUUCCUCCUAUGGCCACCUGUGGAUCACCCUGACCUUCAAAGCUGGUAGCCAAAGUUCUGCUUCCACCCCCACCAUCUGCAAGGUGGCACUUUUCAGUCUUGAUGGAUAAAUGUUAAAAAUCACAACCAACAAUUCUUAAUCAUCCCUAUGAUUUUCAAAGGAAAACGCUACUGUAUUGUCAAACUUUUUCUCUACAGGCUAAAAUAAAAAUAAAUGACUACUGAAAAAA
rnacentral:lncRNA from 10 species